rnacentral:rRNA from 1 species
UACGAAGGGUGCAAGCGUUACUCGGAAUUACUGGGCGUAAAGCGUGCGUAGGUGGUUGUUUAAGUCUGUUGUGAAAGCCCUGGGCUCAACCUGGGAACUGCAGUGGAAACUGGACAACUAGAGUGUGGUAGAGGGUAGCGGAAUUCCCGGUGUAGCAGUGAAAUGCGUAGAUAUCGGUAGGAACACCAGUGGCGAAGGCGGUCUCCUGGGGCAUUCUUGACGCUGAGGCGCGAAAGCUGGGGGAGCAAACGGG